GCUACCCCCGCCAAGUUGAGCCCAGCUUUAUGAGGAGGGGGAAAAAAAGAAAAGAGAUAGAGAGAAAAAGUGGAGGGGAGGAAAGCAAGAAGACGCCUCGGAAGAGGGAGGGCUGUUUCUGUCUUUGGUUAUCUAGCUGUAUGAGUGUUAUCAAGCCAUCAUAAAGCUAGAUAACCGAAAGUAGAAAUGACUUCCAAAGACUUCUGAGAGCUGGGAGGCGAAGAGGAGCAGCACGGAAGAAGAAGAAGAAGAAGGAGGAAAAGUCCGGAGAGCUGGAGACAAGGGGAAAGAAAACGAAGCCAAAAGAUCAAGAUUCUCAGGGAAUGAAGUUGUCUGCGACUGCUGGCGUUUGAGAAAUGCUCCCCGCGUUGUUUCAACACAGACGUGACUGAGAGUUCAUGACUUGGGAUGCGGUGACACAAAGAGACAAGACAUCUCUCUCUCUCAGCUUGGAGAGAGGCUGUGCGACAUUCUGCUGCCGAGAUAAGGAACUUCCAAUUUGGCACGAGCUGCAAACGGCGAUGAAGAUGGAGGGCCACUGCGUGCGUCUCUGGCUUUUAAUUCCCCCUGCCCUACUUCCUCCUCCUUAGUCCUGCUCUCCCCUCCCUCAAAGCCCAUCCGUGCUGUGUGCGGUGCCCUCAAAGAACAAGUAGGAGGAGGCUGUGUGUGUGUGUGUGUGUCUGUGUUUGUGUAUGAAAGAAGGGCAGCCCCUCUCCCUGAGAAGAGACCCUCUCAACAACUCCAGGCCACCCUGCUGCAGCUUAUAGGUUCUCGGUGCCAGGAAGCCAUUUUGAUGGAGUCAAAUGCCGUUUUGUAAGAUGGCCGCAUUGACGUGAGAUUAUUAAGAUGGGGAAUUUCAAGAACUUGGAAAACGCUGAUUUUUUGGUCACGUUUACUACGGAUGAAGGCAUGCCUGCUUUUCCUGUUUCACAUGGACCUGAUUUUCAAACCAUCUUUCUUCAGGAUACCCUACACAGCAAGAACUUUCUUGGGACUCUAGGCUUUGAAUUUUUGGAUUGUCUAAUGAGACAGGGGAACUGGGCCAGAAAAGCCCGUCUCUGGACAUGGAAAUGGGACUGUGUUGGGUCUCCAUCUUUCUAGGGUCUGCCAUGCUUUGCUGAUUUGGAUCACACAUGGAAACCAAGAGCAGCUCUGUACAGCUAGAUGCUGAAGGAGGAGGAGGAAAACAACCAUGGCAAA